rnacentral:lncRNA from 1 species
CUUUUCGAGGUAGGAGUCGACUCCUGUGAGGUAUGGUGCUGGGUGCAGAUGCAGUGUGGCUCUGGAUAGCACCUUAUGGACAGUUGUGUCCCCAAGGAAGGAUGAGAAUAGCUACUGAAGUCCUAAAGAGCAAGCCUAACUCAAGCCAUUGGCACACAGGUGAGACACCUCUAUUUUGUACUUCUCACUUUUAAGGGAUUAGAAAAUAGCCAAAGCAAUGAUGAUUAUCUAUGUUAGUGCUUCUCUCCCCUCUUUUCAAAUGAGAAUUUUGCUCUCAUAUUGAUACUAAGUUUAAUACUGAAGAAAAUGUGAAAACAGAUACUAUGAUGGUUGCAUAGUUCAGCAGAUUUAAUCAUGAAGAGAUGUACUAUCUGUCUGAUGUAUCUGGGGUAGUUGUGGUUUGCUGUUAAUGGUUAAGCAGUGUACCACCAAUCUACCAUUAAAAUAUUUUUUGCUGACAAUUUUGUAUUA